UUAAUUGAAGCCAAAAAUAGAGGCCCUCCAUUGUUAAUGGAGUCAUUGGUAAAAUAACCCAAUUAAA
rnacentral:tRNA from 1 species